CUCAAACGAGUCAUGUACACACAUCCAUGAACCAUAAAUAACAUUCCCAAUUCAAGCUUAUAAUUUACAUUGAUAGAAAUCGAGGUACAAAGUCUCAAUAUACUCAAACUGGUUCAAGGCGUAUACAAUCCAAAUACAAACAUUCUAUUCGAGGAAUAGCACGAGUACAAGUCAAAAAUCAAACAACUAGUCUAUGCUAGACUUUACAUAUCUCGCACCUCGCUCGUACCCCUGAAAGGAAAACAAAUGGAGUGGAAUGAGCUAAAAGCCCAGUGAGGUUCCAAAUAGCAAAUUGACCAUUAUUUAUAAGUACGAGUUUUCGUUAUAGCCAAGUAACGAGCAUAAAGUGUUCAUGAAGUGUUCAUAAAUGUGAACAGUAACACGUCAAGUAGCAAUCUUAAAAUGAGCGAGUGAAAAGUUUUUCAAAAGAAACAAUAAUCCAACAAACAAUAAGUAUUCCAAAGCGUAAGGAUACGGAUGGCUCUCAGGAGCCAAAUUCCCCUUUGCAUUACCAGAAGCUUGAUCACGUAGUAGUUGACACUCCGUCAACUUUCAAGUAAGUAACCAAUCCAGUAGAACACCACUUAAACGACUCUCCGUCCACCGUUCAACCCCCAGCUGGGCCCAAAAUCCUCAAGAACAUGGGUGGUAAUACUCGAGUAUACCGAUUAGUCGAGGAGAUAUCACUCCACUCGACAAUACAAGAGACCCAGGGUUCGUUACCCAAUCGACCAAGCCCUUGCCGGCUCGACUAGAGUAACUCGCCACAGGGUUUCUGGAAUUCCAGGAAGUGCGCGCAUCAUAAUCAAGUAUAUCAAGUCAAUUGCAACAAUAAACAAGUAUAUCACGUAAGGGCAAGUGCGAUAAAGUACACUCUUGCCCUAUCAAUUCACGUAUAUAACAUGUAUCAUAUUGGUCACGUAUCAAGUUCAAGUAUCUAGUGCAAUUCGGUAUUUGAAAGCACUCACCAAAAGAUAUAGUGCCUUUACUGGUCACUUUCAGGUUAUACUCCGGUUCGGAGUCCAAAUCUGCGAUAAAACUCAGUUUGAGAACUUUGAAACAUGACUAAGAUUCGAAACUUAGACGUUUCGUUCAAUAAAAUCAAGAAAUUGAAAUUCACUGGAGUAGUCGUGAAACACUUGCUCGCUUUUUAAAUGGUAAAACUUUGUAACAUUUAUACUUGAAAUGUCAUGCAAGUCGAAAGUACAAGGAAAACAUACUUGAGCAAUCAUUAUUUCAUUUCUCAAGGGUACAAGUUCGGCCAAGUCCUUAUUUAUAUACCUGGAACAAGAAGACUCAAGUACCCUAGAUGGUUCAAGCAGUAAUCACUCUUAACUCUACUCAAGUUGCAAGUAGUUUCUAGACCUCGAGCGUAAAUUCGGGCAGCAUGCCCUUUGUGUUUACCUAAUUUUCCAGCCUUUUAGGCUUCAUUGUUUUUCUCAAACACAACCCAACAUUACAUAUCUCAACAAUUCAAGCCAAAAGCCGUUCCAUAGGCUCACAAUAUCAUAAAACAAGAUUCACAACAAUUACAAGUGCAGAAAUUUAACUUAGUACAAGACAGAUUUGACGUACAAUUGCGGAAAUAACAUAUCCGAGGCUACGCUUACGGAUUGAGGCGUAACCUAUGCCGUUUCGAAGCUAAGACACAGAGCUACAAUGUUCAUGAAGGUCACUUAUCCAGUUUCUAAUGUAAAUUGGUCAAAUUCUCCAAUUACAAACCUGAAAUCAAUUCACCGGCUGUUUAAAUGCAGAACACUGUAAUGGACAUAACUCAGUGUACACAAGUCCGAAUCAGGUGUUCUUAGAGGCAUUUUAAAGCUACUUCAGAGCACUACAACUUUCAUGUUUUGGUCCAGAGCUAAAUCAGAAUGGAUCCUGGUCAAAAAUCGUGAUAAACUGGACUGAACUGAAGAAACGGACUACUGGGAAAUUCUUAAAGCAGUAGGGGUAUUUUGGACUUUUCACGUUCUGCGUUGCUCCGAUUGAGCUGAAAUUUUGUAGGCACCUAUAAAACACCAUUCUCUACAACUUUCCUUCUUUGACCAAAGGCCAAUUCGGCCUCUAACAUACAGAUACAAUUUCGGACAGAAUGCUUGGGAAAUUUUCCAGAAAUCUGGAAUUUUUAGCUCUAAGUGUAGUUUCCUCAAAUUUCUGGUUCCAAUCACCACUAAACAACCUUAUAUAACUUUAAUUGCAACAUUCAUGCAUCAUACAUCAACUUGAGCAGAAAAUCAGGAACCCUAGUUCAUCAAAUAAAUUGGGGAAAACUACUAAAACAUGCUCAUCAUCCAUAAUCUCACCAUAAAAUCAAGUUGCCCAUCUUAAUUUAACCAAAUUAAAAGCAAAACUUGGAGAGAUAAUCUCUCUUACCUUGAGUAGAGGUCACUAAGAGUAGUCCAAGCUUCCUUCCUUCAAAAACUUACCACAAAUCAACACUUAGUCACUCAAGAACAAGUUUAAUCGGUUUACUUUGUUUAUUUUCUCACUAAGUUGUUGGAUUUGAAGAUGAAAUGGAAGGUUUGCUCUCUUGUUUUUCCUCUCUCUCACUCACGGUUCUUCAGCAGCAAAAUGAAGAGGAAUGAAGCUAAGUGUUGGUCUUAUAAGAAGUAAGAAGGUUAGAGUUAAUUAUGACCACAAAUUUCUACUAACACUUGGACUAAUCUUGUCCACUAAUUUUUCUCUUUCUUCCCCUUGCUUCUUAGCCACAAAUUUCGGUCCUUCUUAGCUGAAUAUAAGAAGAUAUUUUGGCUCAAAUAUCAAUGAGCUUGUGGUGCAAGAAAGUGGUAGUCCAGUGGUGCGUUCAAACGGUAGUGCGCGGGACCCGCCGGUUCGCGCCGUUUUCUUAAAAACUCACGUACUAGGUUUUUUUUUCUUCCAUUCACUAACCUUGUCUCAUGGCUACUACUCACAUAUUAUUUCUCACUUAAAAGUCACUUUUAAUCAUCAAAUUGAUCCUUGGCAGUACCGAAAAUUCAUCCGGCGGAAAAAUCGAAAAACCCUAAUUUUGCUCAAAUCUUGAAACCGAAGUGUAAAACCCUAUUUCCAGGUUCAUCUGCACUUAUUGUUGAACAAUUGGGUAGUAGGGCCUUAAUAAAUAAUAAUUUUCAAAUAAAAGGAAAUUUUUAAGAAAACGUGAGGAAUUUACAAUUCAAUAAUUAACAUUAGGAUCUCUAGUAAAAUAUGAGAGAUUUAAGAACCGUUUAGUCACAAGUAAACUAGGGUUUUUGAUUAAAACAUUAGGGUUUCUAGUCUUUUAAAACAAAAUAAGGUUUUAAAUCAAACCCGAAGAAAUAUACUUUAAUAUUUUCUUCACAAACAACCUCCUAAUAUUCGGGAUGUUACAAUCUCCCCUCCUUAAAAGAAUUUCGCCCUCGAAAUUCCAACGGGUACUAAGAGUCCUUUAAAGUCAGUCAGGUACUAGAAAUCACUCCAAUCCCUUAUAUAUGACCUUAUCAUUUAGUAAAAAAAACUAAGAGAUAACCAAAUAGAACAUGCAAAAAGGGCUCAAUUCGCAUAACUAGCCCUAAGUUGAAAGAAAAGUCUCAGAUAUUUGAAAAAUUUAAAACAUGGCUUAGCCUCAAGUCGAAAAUUUUUACCCCUGCCGGGUGCUUGGAAACACAACAGGCAAAGCCACACAAAUACGAAUAAGUUCAAAAGCAAGGUCAAAGCAGGGUUCAAACAUAUAAGUUCAAAAGUAGAUUCAAUUAUUUCAAGUUCAAGAAGCACGGGUACAAAUAAGAACUCACUCGACUAGCCUAUACCCAGCAAUUCACAUUCUCAAACAGUCGCCGAAUUCAAAUCCACCUAUAGGUCAUAUUACUCAUGUGUAAAAAUCAAAUCAGGUCCAUUACAUGUACGUAAGAGCACAAUUGCCAAAACAAGUUCAAGUCCCAAAUGAGCUCAUUUUAGUCUGUCUCAGACAGUUCAAGUAUUGCAAACCCCUUUGAUCGGUCCAAUAACAAGGUUAGAUGUUAGAAUCAUCCACGCUUUAACCUUUUCCAUCAAAACUCACCUUAAGUGCAAUCAAGAUACAGACCCUUAUUCUAACGCUCUUCACUAUGUGAUACCCAAGUACAAGAAUCCACAAUAAGACAAUUCACAACUCGAGCCGGCCGGUCCCAAGAGUAAAUCAUCCAUAUUAGAGAUUCCUACCUGGCAUAACUAACUAAGGUCCCAAACAAUAGACAACUUUUCCACACUUAACAAGUCAAUUCCCACAGUCCGAGAACCUUCUCCCGGCACGAGCUCAAUAGGAGCUCUGAUACCAUCUGUGACGACCCCACCUCCCCUAAGGCGUACCAAAGGGUUCGGCAGACGCCUGCCCAGCUCUCGCCAGGACUCACUCCCUAUCUCAAACGAGUCAUGUACACACAUCCAUGAACCAUAAAUAACAUUCCCAAUUCAAGCUUAUAAUUUACAUUGAUAGAAAUCGAGGUACAAAGUCUCAAUAUACUCAAACUGUUCAAGGCGUAUACAAUCCAAAUACAAACAUUCUAUUCGAGAAUAGCACGAGUACAAGUCAAAAAUCAAACAACUAGUCUAUGCUAGACUUUACAUAUCUCGCACCUCGCUCGUACCCCUGAAAGGAAAACAAAUGGAGUGGAAUGAGCUAAAAGCCCAGUGAGGUUCCAAAUAGCAAAUUGACCAUUAUUUAUAAGUACGAGUUUUCGUUAUAGCCAAGUAACGAGCAUAAAGUGUUCAUGAAGUGUUCAUAAAUGUGAACAGUAACACGUCAAGUAGCAAUCUUAAAAUGAGCGAGUGUAAAAGUUUUUCAAAAGAAACAAUAAUCCAACAAACAAUAAGUAUUCCAAAGCGUAAGGAUACGGAUGGCUCUCAGGAGCCAAAUUCCCCUUUGCAUUACCAGAAGCUUGAUCACGUAGUAGUUGACACUCCGUCAACUUUCAAGUAAGUAACCAAUCCAGUAGAACACACUUAAACGACUCUCCGUCCACCGUUCAACUCCCAGCUGGGCCCAAAAUCCUCAAGAACAUGGGUGGUAAUACUCGAGUAUACCGAUUAGUCGAGGAGAUAUCACUCCACUCGACAAUACAAGAGACCCAGGGUUCGUUACCCAAUCGACCAAGCCCUUGCCGGCUCGACUAGAGUAACUCGCCACAGGGUUUCUGGAAUUCCAGGAAUGCGCGCAUCAUAAUCAAGUAUAUCAAGUCAAUUGCAACAAUAAACAAGUAUAUCACGUAAGGGCAAGUGCGAUAAAGUACACUCUUGCCCUAUCAAUUCACGUAUAUAACAUGUACUCAUAUUGGUCACGUAUCAAGUUCAAGUAUCUAGUGCAAUUCGGUAUUUGAAAGCACUCACCCAAAAGAUAUAGUGCUACUGGUCACUUUCAGGUUAUACUCCGAGUUCGGAGUCCAAAUCUGCGAUAAAACUCAAUUUGAGAACUUUGAAACAUGAUUAGAGUUCGAAACUUAGACGUUUCGUUCAAUAAGAAUCAAGAAAUGAAAAUUCACUUGGAGAAUACUCGUGAAAUACUCGCUCACUUUUUAAAUGAUAAACUUUGUAACAUUUAUACUUGAAAUGGUCAUGCGAGUCGAAAGUACAAGGAAAUCGUACUUUGAACAAUCAUUAUUUCAUUUCUCAAGGGUACAAGUUCGGCCAAGUCCUUAUUUAUAUAUCUUGGGACAAGAAGACUUAAGUACCCUAGAUGGUUCAAGCAGUAAUCACUCUUAACUCAUACUCAAGUUGCAAAGAUAGUUUUCUAGACCUCGAGUAAAAAUUCGGGCAGCAUGCCCUUUGUGUUUACCUAAUUUUCCAGCCUUUUAGGCUUCAUUGUUUUCUCAAACACAACCCAACAUUACAUAUCUCAACAAUUCAAGCCAAAAGCCGUUCCAUAGGCUCACAAUAUCAUAAAAACAAGAUUCACAACAAUUACAAGUGCAGAAAUUUAACUUAGUACAAGACAGAUUUGACGUACAAUUGCGGAAAUAACAUAUCCGAGGCUACGCUUACCGGAUUGAGGCGUAACCUAUGCCGUUUCGAAGCUAAGACACAGAGCUACAAUGUUCAUGAAGGUCACUUAAUCCAGUUUCUAAUGUAAAUUGGUCAAUUCUCCAAUUACCAAACCUGAAAUCAAUUCACCGGCUGUUCAAAUGCAGAACACUGUAAUGGACAUAACUCAGUGUACACAAGUCCGAGUCAGGUGUUCUUAGAGGCAUUUUAAAGCUACUUCAGAGCACUACAACUUUCAUGUUUUUGGUCCAGAGCUAAAUCAGAAUGGAUCCUGGUCAAAAAUCGUGAUAAACUGGACUGAACUGAAGAAACGGACUACUGGAAAUUCUUAAAGCAGUAGGGGUAUUUUGGACUUUUCACGUUCUACGUUGCUCCGAUUGAGCUGAAAUUUUGUAGACACCUAUAAAACACCAUUCUAUACAACUUUCCUUCUUUGACCAAAGGUCAAUUCGGCCUCUAACAUACAGAUACAAUUUCGGACAGAAUGCUUGGGAAAUUUUCCAGAAAUCUGGAAUUUUUAGCUCUAAGUGUAGUUUCCUCAAAUUUCUGGUUCCAAUCACCACUAAACAACCUUAUAUAACUUUAAUUGCAACAUUCAUGCAUCAUACAUCAAUUUGAGCAGAAAAUCAGGAACCCUAGUUCAUCAAAUAAAUUGGGGAAAACUACUAAAACAUGCUCAUCAUCCAUAAUCUCACCAUAAAAUCAAGUUGCCCAUCUUAAUUUAACCAAAUUAAAAGCAAAACUUGGAGAGAUAAUCUCUCUUACCUUGAGUAGAGGUCACUAAGAGUAGUCCAAGCUUCCUUCCUUCAAAAACUUACCACAAAUCAACACUUAGUCACUCAAGAACAAGUUUAAUCGGUUUACUUUGUUUAUUUUCUCACUAAGUUGUUGGAUUUGAAGAUGAAAUGGAAGGUUUGCUCUCUUGUUUUUCCUCUCUCUCACUCACGG
rnacentral:lncRNA from 1 species